GACGAACGCUGGCGGCGUGCCUAAUACAUGCAAGUAGAACGCACAGUUUAUACCUUAGCUUGCUACACCAUAGACUGUGAGUUGCGAACGGGUGAGUAACGCGUAGGUAACCUGCCUGGUAUCGGGGGAUAACUAUUGGAAACGAUAGCUAAUACCGCAUAAUAUUGAUUAUUGCAUGAUCAUUGAUUUAACGAUGCUAUUUCAUCACUACCAGAUGGACCUGCGUUGUAUUAGCUAGUAGGUGAGGUAACGGCUCACCUAGGCGGCGAUACAUAGCCGACCUGGGAGGGUGAUCGGCCACACUGGGAAUGAGACACGGCCCAGACUCCUACGGGAGGCAGCAGUAGGGAAUCUUCGGAAAUGGACGAAAGUCUGACCGAGCAAAGCCGCGUGAGUGAAGAAGGGUUUCGGAUCGUAAAGCUAUGUUGUAAGAGAAGAACGGGUGUGAGAGUGGAAAGUUCACACUGUGACGGUAUCUUACCAGAAAGGGACGGCUAACUACGUG
rnacentral:rRNA from 1 species